CCCCUCUCAGGGUCUUACCUGGAGAGUUUCAGUCCUCUUCCAGUCUUGACUACAGGAGGGAGAGUCAAGCAGAGGCAUAUCCAUUCCAUUCCUAGCUUGGCCAGUAGCUAGCGAGUGGAAGGCAAUCUGCUCAAGUC